GAGGACAACUUGACUGUUCAAGUGGGUGAGGCUGGAGGGCGUGUGUGCACACGCACACACCCACAGGCUCACCUCCAUAAUCUCUCUCUCUCCUUCUCCCUGCCUCUGCUCCACUCUCCUCUCCUGGCUUCCUGUUGCCACAUGGCCCAGGGUGGCUUCCAGAAGAGAGAAAUUUGGACACAAGGAUACAGACACAGAGGGAGGACGGCCAUGCGAAGACAGAGGCAGAGAUUGAAAUUAUGCUUCCGCAAGCCAAGGAACACCACGGACUCUGGGAACCACCAGAAGAAGCUGGAAGGGACAAGGAAGGAUUCUUCCCUAGAGCCUUCGGAGACAGCAUGGGCGUGCUGACACCCUGGUUUCAGAUUUCUAGCCUCCAGGACUGUGAGAGAAUAA
rnacentral:lncRNA from 1 species